CCUACGGGAGGCAGCAGUGAGGAAUAUUGGUCAAUGGGCGGGAGCCUGAACCAGCCAAGCCGCGUGAGGGAAGAAGGUACAGCGUAUCGUAAACCUCUUUUGUCAGGGAACAAAGGCGGGGACUAGUCCCCGGAUGAGGGUACCUGAAGAAAAAGCAUCGGCUAACUCCGUGCCAGCAGCCGCGGUAAUACGGAGGAUGCGAGCGUUAUCCGGAUUUAUUGGGUUUAAAGGGUGCGUAGGCGGUAUUUUAAGUUAGUGGUAAAACGUCGGGGCUUCACCUUGAUUGGCCAUUAAAACUGGAGUACUAGAGUACAGACGAGGUAGGCGGAAUAAGUUAAGUAGCGGUGAAAUGCUUAGAUAUAACUUAGAACCCCGAUAGCGAAGGCAGCUUACCAGACUGUUACUGACGCUGAAGCACGAGAGCGUGGGUAGCGAACAGGAUUAGAUACCCCAGUAGUC
rnacentral:rRNA from 1 species